rnacentral:rRNA from 1 species
UGUGGGCUAGUAUGAAUGGAUAAACGAAGGCUUGACUGUCUCAACUAUAGAAAUAAAAAUUGGCCUUUAGGUGAAAAGACCUAAAUAAAAUUAGAGGACAAAAAGACCCCGUAGAGCUUAGUAUUUCAGCUAAUUCAUUUUUUAUAUUUUUAUAAAAAACACUUUUGUUAAAAAUAUUUGGCUGGGGCGGCUAUGGAACAAAAAACCUCCACAAACAAACGAAGAUUCGCUUAUCUUUUAUAUUAAAUGAUCCUUAUUUAGAUCAAAGAAAAUAGCUACCUCGGGGAUAACAG